AGCAAACCCAAAUAAGAUGAAAUUAACAACAAUUAACCUUUUUGGAUGAAAUCCCGAAGAAAUUAGCCUGGCUUGCAAGACAGGAUAUUAUCAGUUUUGAUGUCCCCUUUCUGAAGAACUGCUCGGAGACAGACUGUCAGUGUCACGCAACUCUAUCGCUGCCAAUUUCCUCAGCAACAGAACUUAAAGUCCGGCAAUGGUGGACGCUGACUGGGUUCUUGUCUACCCAACGUAUAAGUUAAGUGCGCAAAGCUUGGUCACGCCAACAGUGGAACCAAAUUGGGCUGGCAUUAGCUACAUGUGCACUAGGCAAGGUCAGCUAAAGUAGUCACAAGCCUGAUAUAUGGCACUCUCUUAUUGUUUAUUACAAGGAAUUAACCCACAGGAACUCACCCUGAACUUUUAACACUGGACUGAACCCAUUCUGCUUAUGUGUACGCUCUUGGAAUAAAAACAUAAUGAACUCAAAA
rnacentral:lncRNA from 1 species